rnacentral:rRNA from 1 species
GAUGAACGCUAGCGGCAGGCCUAAUACAUGCAAGUCGAGGGGCAGCGGGUCCCGCAGCACUGCGGGAUGCUGGCGACCGGCAAACGGCAGCGGAACACGCACAGCACCAUCCUUUAAGUGGCGCAUGGCACGGGGACACCCGGCUCAUUACCCCGUAACAUAAUGAAGUGGCGUCGCCAAAGUAUUAUAGCACCAAUGCGCUUGAAGAUGGCUGUGGGGCUGAUUAGGUAGUUGGCGGGGUAACGGCCCACCAAGCCUAUGAUCAGUAACAGGUGUGAGAGCGCGACCAGUCACACGGGCACUGAGACACGGGCGCGACUCCUACGGGAGGCAGCAGUAAGGAAUAUUGGGCAAUGGACGCAAGUCUGACCCAGCCAUGCCACGCGGAGGAUGAAGGUCCUCUGGAUUGUAAGCUUCUUUUAUCUGGGAAGAAAUCUAUUUUUUCUAAAGUAGUUGACGGUACCAGAUGAAUAAGCACCGGCUAACUCCGUGCCAGCAGCCGCCGUAA